rnacentral:lncRNA from 1 species
AUUUCUGCAUAUUAUGAUUAGGCCCAAUGAAUAUUUUUGUAGAUGAGUCACAUGUCCAGGUUGGCCGAUCCUUUCCUACACCUGCAUUGGCAAUAUCAAUAUUCUCUUCUAAGCCUUCAACAAAGGCAGUGAAUCUGAGUGUCAAAACAUGAAUUUUAAAGCUGAAUGUUUAGAGCAACUUGGGAUAGCUGCCAUCAGCAAGCCCGCCAAGGUCAGCUAAAAGUAUUCCUUCAUCUAUAUUCAUAGUACUUACGUAGUCUAAUGUUCUGACUUCUCUUGUGUGUGCAGACUGUGUCCUUUCUGCAGCAUUUGAGCUUGAGGAACUAAACUUCUGCCAAAUUUUUCAGAGAGAAAACAGAAGCCAAGACUCCCUUGAAUCCCUUUCCUCUAGUAUGGAUGAAGCGACAGCAGGAGCAGCACAUGGCAGAAGUCUGAGAUAAAAAUCCUCCAGUUACUUUCAGAGCACUGUGGCAUCACAUAAGCUGUGUACAUGCAGAGUCUGCUGAAGUGCCUCUGCUGUAUCUACACAAACAGGGGGUGCCCUUUCCAGUUCUGUAUCUUAUCCCUAACAUUCUGGCCUACGUUCUCCAGCCUCUCCAGUUCCUUCUCAGCAGUAUAGAGAGAGUUUAAGAAGAAAACAUUGAUCAUGGAGAAAUUAAUGUUUUUCAUCCAACAAAUGGCUUGCUUUUGCACUGGAUAAUGUGACUGUUAGCACUCUCCAGGGACCUUCACUAAAUCCUUCACAUUCACAAGAUUUGCAAUGCCCCCUCC